AAAUUGAAGAGUUUGAUCAUGGCUCAGAUUGAACGCUGGCGGCAGGCCUAACACAUGCAAGUCGAACGGUAACAGGAAGCAGCUUGCUGCUUCGCUGACGAGUGGCGGACGGGUGAGUAAUGUCUGGGAAACUGCCUGAUGGAGGGGGAUAACUACUGGAAACGGUAGCUAAUACCGCAUAAUGUCGCAAGACCAAAGAGGGGGACCUUCGGGCCUCUUACCAUCGGAUGUGCCCAGAUGGGAUUAGCUUGUUGGUGGGGUAACGGCUCACCAAGGCGACGAUCCCUAGCUGGUCUGAGAGGAUGACCAGCCACACUGGAACUGAGACACGGUCCAGACUCCUACGGGAGGCAGCAGUGGGGAAUAUUGCACAAUGGGCGCAAGCCUGAUGCAGCC
rnacentral:rRNA from 1 species